CACGAACCUGACGAACGUUAUUCGGAAUUAUUGGGCUUAAAGGGUGCGUAGGCGGUUCGGUAGGUGGGGUGUGAAAUUCCUCGGCUUAAACGAGGAAUUGCGCCCCAAACCACCAGGCUAGAGGGAGACAGAGGAAAGCGGAACUGAUGGUGGAGCGGUGAAAUGCGUUGAUAUCAUCAGGAACACCGGUGGCGAAAGCGGCUUACUGGGUCUCUUCUGACGCUGAGGCACGAAAGCUAGGGUAGCGAACGGG
rnacentral:rRNA from 1 species